UCCUUCCUUCUAGAUUAGGAAAUACACAGGUUUUCAGAGCUGAAUUAGGUGUACUUUUUUUCCCUGUUUUAUGAUACUUUAUUUUUUAACAGAAAAGCUGGUGCUAUUCAUAGUGUGAUGGUGAGGGAGCCAGGAAUUUGCAAGCUAUGAAAUCGUGGUGUUUCUGCAAAAAACAAAAACAAAAAAACCCAAAACAGUGCACCAUGCAGGUGAAUUGCCUUCACUCCAAAGGUAAAACUUGUGUUGUGUACAGUGUUACCUGGAUUUACUGCAUCUUAAGGUACACUUGGAUGAUGUAUUCAUCAAGUUCCACUGAAGUCUUCUGAAUUGACCCUAAAUACACAAGUAGCUCUAUGUAGUGAGGUCUGAAAACACUUCUGUCAUGAUAGCACCUUGGAUCCUUGCUUAACAAAACGUGCAGAACAUGUGUAUUGGUAAAGCAGUUCACAGAACUUCAAGUCUGAGUCGUGCCCUUAUGCAAGGUAUGCAGCUCAGGUGAGGAGGUGUUAUGUGAGUGUUUGGAUGUAAGUUUUGAUAACUGAUAUAUUACGGUGUGAGAACCAAAGUGCUGCUGAUGAAUUAUUAGGUAUAUUUCAAGUGUUUCUGCUUCCCAGUUGUGAAUGUAAGAAGGUUACAAGCCAGAUGUGACUUCAGGCAUUUGCCACCUUGGCAAUGUGCACUCAGAUAACUGCUCUUAGCACUGCAGAGCUGCUGGGAGCAGGCUUUGUCUGACAGCUUCUCCCACCUCUGUAGCCCCUAGGCGUCACUGGUGUCCUGUGACUUAGUCUGGCACUUCUGCUGCCCCUGUUCUUUCCCUGUUCAGCUUCCUGUCUCCUGAGCUAUUGAGUUUAUUACAUUCUUUGAUGGUAAAAGGAAAGAUUUGUAACUUUAAUUUCAGAUAAGAUGCUGGGAAGGUUCUUAAUGAAGUGCUGUUGGCCCAAUGAUAGUGAUCGUGAAUAUAAAAUAUCUUCUUAGGAAAGAGAAAUGAGGUACUGAAAAGCAUCCUAUUGUAGUCCACUGUCAUGAAUUUGGAGAACAUUUGUUCUCCUUGUUGAGCAACAAUAUCCUUGAUUAUUGUUUUCUUUUCUUCCUAGAGAAGAUGGAAAGAAACUAGUGUAUUGAUAAGCCUCUGGCUCAAAGAACUUCUGACAAAGUGACAAACUGGCAAACUAGGAGGAAAGUAACUUCUGAGAGGAACAGGAAAUAGAAGCACUUCCGUUCUGGACACUGCGUGUUUAUUUCUUGCUGCCCAGAUGCCAUGGUUACAAGAACUACAGAAAACAAACCGGUGGUACCAGGUGAAAACUUUGUGGUGUGCUGUGUGAUAUUUGCUGGUGGCUGACGAAGGAAGAUGUCUAGAUUUGGAGAGUCUGAAAGCUGGAGCUUGCACCCUGGUUGAGGGCUCCAACAAAGACCCGAUGUGUGUUGCCAAGCUUUGGAGAGGGUUUGAACAGAGUCCUGCCUGCUGACCUGGUUAACAAGGAGUGCUGUUCCCCUGUGACAGGUGCGAGUGACUGACAUGCAAAGAGCCCUUCUUUCAAUUAUUCUGCAACCGUAUAUCAAACGAGAGUCCCUCUGUUUGUGUGCUGCUCCUUUCUCGCUUUACAAUGCAGUGCACUGUCAGAUCAGAUAGUCUGUUUAAUAGUCUGUUGGAGUGGAAAAUAAAGACAGUCCUUUCUGUAAAGAAAGAUUUGAAAAGGCUUCUGGUUUUUCAUCCAAGCUGCUGGAGCCCUUCCUUCCCCUCCUCCUUCCUCAGUCCCACCCCAGAACCUCACCCCUUCCUGCCUUUGUCAAGCAAGUGUCAGAUUCGACACCUUUGCAGUAAGGUACAGACAUGCAAAUGGAUAAAACCAGCAACACCUCAUCAGAGGGUUAACUUUCUGUCAAUCUAAUUUGUGGAUGUAAAAAAAAAAA